rnacentral:rRNA from 1 species
AUUACCGCGGCUGUUGGCACGAAGUUAGCCGGGGCUUAUUCUUCCGGUACAGUCAUUAUCUUCCCGGAUAAAAGAGCUUUACAACCCUAAGGCCUUCAUCACUCACGCGGCAUGGCUGGAUCAGGCUUUCGCCCAUUGUCCAAUAUUCCCCACUGCUGCCUCCCGUAGG